UCGGAAUACUCAUCAGGAUGAUGAUGUUUCGACAAAGGAAACACCGGGAUGGUGCUGCAAGGAAGGCUUCAGGAUGAAGCAAAAGGACAAUGCGGGAUUGCAUUAAAGGACACCUCCAGGAAGGAGAACGUGAGCCGAAACGGAUAGACGGCGGAUCAGGACGAUCAGGGACACGCUUUACGGACAAAGCAUAUCCACAUCGGGGUGGUGUGGGCAGGAUGCGCUGGUUUACGGAUGAACAGGUCAGGAGACCACAGGAAAAGUUGUCAAGGAUGAGCAGGGAGCACUAAAAGUAGCCGGACUGCUGCGAAACGAACCGGGAGCACUGUUUUUACAGUGCUCCCUUUUUUAUU
rnacentral:other from 1 species